rnacentral:rRNA from 1 species
GUAAGGAAUAUUGGUCAAUGGACGCAAGUCUGAACCAGCCAUGCCGCGUGCAGGAAGACGGCCCUACGGGUUGUAAACUGCUUUUAUACAGGAAUAAACCUUCUUACGUGUAAGGAGCUGAAUGUACUGUAAGAAUAAGGAUCGGCUAACUCCGUGCCAGCAGCCGCGGUAAUACGGAGGAUCCAAGCGUUAUCCGGAUUUAUUGGGUUUAAAGGGUGCGUAGGCGGCCUUGUAAGUCAGGGGUGAAAGACGGUAGCUUAACUAUCGCAGUGCCUUUGAUACUGCAAGGCUUGAAUGUACUUGAGGUAGGCGGAAUGUGACAAGUAGCGGUGAAAUGCUUAGAUAUGUCACAGAACACCAAUUGCGAAGGCAGCUUACUAAAGUAUGAUUGACGCUGAGGCACGAAAGCGUGGGGAUCAAACAGGAUUAGAAACCCGUGUAGUCC